CCUACGGGUGGCAGCAGUGGGGAAUAUUGGACAAUGGGGGGAACCCUGAUCCAGCCAUGCCGCGUGUGUGAAGAAGGCCCUCGGGUUGUAAAGCACUUUCAGUGAGGAAGAACGCCUGGUGGUUAAUACCCAUCAGGAAAGACAUCACUCACAGAAGAAGCACCGGCUAACUCCGUGCCAGCAGCCGCGGUAAUACGGAGGGUGCGAGCGUUAAUCGGAAUUACUGGGCGUAAAGCGCGCGUAGGUGGCUUGAUAAGCCGGUUGUGAAAGCCCCGGGCUCAACCUGGGAACGGCAUCCGGAACUGUCAAGCUAGAGUGCAGGAGAGGAAGGUAGAAUUCCCGGUGUAGCGGUGAAAUGUGUAGAGAUCGGGAGGAAUACCAGUGGCGAAGGCGGCCUUCUGGACUGACACUGACACUGAGGUGCGAAAGCGUGGGUAGCAAACAGGAUUAGAUACCCGAGUAGUC
rnacentral:rRNA from 1 species